rnacentral:misc_RNA from 1 species
GGAAGUAAAAGCCGUAACAAGGUUUCCGUAGGUGAACCUGCGGAAGGAUCAUUAUUGUAUAACCGAGGUGCGAGGGCUGUCGCUGACCCGAAAGGUCGUGCACGCCCGAGUGCCCUCACACACAUCCAUCUCACCCCUAUGUGCACCACCGCGUGGGUCCCCCUUUGGCUUGUUCGGAGGGGGGCUUACGUUUUCACACAAACUUUGUAUGCAGUGUAGAAUGUACUUUUUGUUUUUGCGAUCACGCAAUCAAUACAACUUUCAACAACGGAUCUCUUGGCUCUC